rnacentral:rRNA from 1 species
GACGAACGCUGGCGGCGUGCUUAACACAUGCAAGUCGAACGGAAAGGCCCUGCUUUUGUGGGGUGCUCGAGUGGCGAACGGGUGAGUAACACGUGGGUAACCUGCCAUUGACUUUGGGAUAACUUCAGGAAACUGGGGCUAAUACCGGAUAGGAGCUCCUGCUGCAUGGUGGGGGUUGGAAAGUUUCGGCGGUUGGGGAUGGACUCGCGGCUUAUCAGCUUGUUGGUGGGGUAGUGGCUUACCAAGGCUUUGACGGGUAGCCGGCCUGCGAGGGUGACCGGCCACAUUGGGACUGGGAUACGGCCCAGACUCCUACGGGAGGCAGCAGUGGGGAAUAUUGCACAGUGGGCGGAAGCCUGAUGCAGCAACGCCGCGUGCGGGAUGACGGCCUUCGGGUUGUAAACCGCUUUCGCCUGUGACGAAGCGUGAGUGACGGUAAUGGGUAAAGAAGCACCGGCUAACUACGUG